rnacentral:rRNA from 1 species
AGCGAACGCUGGCGGCAGGCUUAACACAUGCAAGUCGAGCGGGCCCUUCGGGGUCAGCGGCAGACGGGUGAGUAACACGUGGGAACGUACCCUUUGGUUCGGAAUAACGCUGGGAAACUAGCGCUAAUACCGGAUACGCCCUUUUGGGGAAAGGCUUGCUGCCGAAGGAUCGGCCCGCGUCUGAUUAGCUAGUUGGUGGGGUAAUGGCCUACCAAGGCGACGAUCAGUAGCUGGUCUGAGAGGAUGAUCAGCCACACUGGGACUGAGACACGGCCCAGACUCCUACGGGAGGCGGCAGUGGGGAAUAUUGGACAAGGGGCGCAAGCCUGAUCCAGCCAUGCCGCGUGAGUGAUGAAGGCCUUAGGGUUGUAAAGCUCUUUUGUCCGGGACGAUAAUGACGGUACCGGAAGAAUAAGCCCCGGCUAACUUCGU